rnacentral:rRNA from 1 species
AAGAUUAGAUUUCCCUGAGGGUCGUCAUAGACGAUGACGUUGAUAGGAUGCAGGUGUAUAGGUGGAGACACCACAGCCGAGCAUUACUAAUUGCCCGAGGCUUUC